UCUGCUAAAAAAAACAAGGACUGAUUCUAGUCAUAAAGGUAAAGGAAGUGGAAAGAAAGGAGGUGCUAACAGCACCAAAAGGAAAUGAUAAAAAGAGCAAAGAAACUUCAAAUACUAAGAAAGAAAUCGUAGAUUUUAUUGAUCUUAGUGAUUCACCAUGUAAAAGAAAUGACGACAAAGAAAAGUCGGUCCAGCCUACUGUGCCAAAAUACAAAGAUGAAAU